rnacentral:lncRNA from 1 species
UGUCAGGGCUGAGAGGACCCUAGAACACAGGAUGUCCAUGGGAACAAUGGUACCUUAGAACACAGAAUAUUAGAAGGGAACUUAGAUUGUAGAAUCUUAGAAGGUGUCUAAGUCUGAGACCUUUAUCUUUCAGAUGAGGAGACUGAGGCCCCAGGAUGUGAAGUCACUUGCCUGUAGUCACAUCAUUAGUGUAACCAUGACUAGAACCUGAGCUAGCUGCAGGCGAUCCCUUCCAUCAGAACACACACACACACACAUACACACACACACACACGGCCCUUAGAUGGAGCAUGGGGUCUUCUCCCCUGAGCGAGUCUUCUGGUUUCAGGCCAAUAUUGACAUUACAGACACAAAUAUCCGAUUCCACUCAUUGCUCCCGGGAGGGCGGCUUCUCGAAGGGAGGGAGAGCUACCCGAUCCCUAAGUAGCAGUGGCUUUGGCACCCGGGCCUGGAUCUGGACGGACGGGGGACAGAAAGUCGUGCAGUCGAAACAACGACACGGCAGCUUUCAGACAGUGUUUUAAGGUGGCACCGUAAAGCCAGAGGCUCGGGGUCAAGCCUCCCACCGGUGACUCCCCACGGGACCCCUCUGAGUCUUGGUUUCUACAUCAAAGGCACAAAGGGAUGGCAAGAUGGCUUUGAAGUUCCCGUCCAGCUGUGGAUUCAGGUGAAAUCAGGGGGUAGCGGGCGUGGUGACAGGAGCCACUGGGAGAAACCAAUCUGGGGCUGCCCAGGGAUCCUGAUGGGCGUGUGGAGGCCAUUGUCUGAGCUCCCGGACCCA